rnacentral:lncRNA from 1 species
UGUUACGAUAUAGAAGCAAUGCGGCCGCGAGCUGGUAGCUUGAAAGCAAAACAUAAUGGGAAUGUUGGGACUGUUCCGUGGGAAACAGAGGGACAGUCUAUUCACAGUGCGAAGCACCGGAAUUAGCUCAGAGUGUAAUAUGAGCUGUACAGGAAGUACAGGAGGAGUUUGUCUCUCGACUGCUGAAGCUUGAAGAGAGCAGACAUGAUUUUUGUAACACUGCAAAGACAGAAAUAAAGGCAUGUAACUACGUCUCUGUCUAUCUCUCUCCCCUGCCCAGGGGGGGCAGGAAAGAGGGGGGGUGUUCUUCUCACGCUGAGGAGGAUCGCCUAUCGCGACCUAGCCUGGAUCCUGCCGGGAAUGCAGACAGGGAGGUCAACAGGAGAUCAAGCCGGGUGCCUGGAGAGUGGCCAGUUUCUCCUGAUAAAUGAUUUAAUCCCAACAUAUGGUAGCACGGAGCCGAUGGUUUUGAUCCAUGAAAGCAACAAGAGAGGUUGAUGGAUCGUACUUCAUCCUCUGCAAGGAGAUAAAGAAAGAAUGUGGUAGCGGGCGGAUGGAAGCUACAAGGACGGCUGAGCACCGGAGGAGGUGUUUUUUGCUGAGCAACGGAUUCCCUCCAGGUAUGGUGAUUUUAUGGCUGUGAGAGUGAACGCGAAUUGAAGCAUUCUUCGGUUCACUGAGUGUCUGCUUUUGGAUGAAACCAGCACUGAGAGAAAUAGCCUGCAUAUUUCGCAUUCCUGGGGUUGAUAAGGGUUGCUGCUCAAGCCUGGAAUGUCCAGUUGCUAAGCAACGAAACGUCAGUAAGGUGGAAAGUUACUGGCCAACACGGAAGUAAGGCUGAGCACUGUGAGAGACUGGAAAAACACUGAGAAAACAGAGUUUGUUUUGUCUAUUAUCUCACUGCUCUUGGAGGGACUUUCAAAACAGCCUGUGUUUAGCUGCCAAGUGUGAGGCAGUAAACAGCCAAUAGACUUUUGGAGUUUACAGGCUCGAGAGUGAGAGCUGAGGCUUGGAUUCAAAAUGGAUACCAAGAAGGGGGGAGGCUUACCUUACCCACCUCCACUGACUAAUGACAAUUAUUCCUCAUGGUCUGUAAAGAUGAAAGCCCUGCUUCAGAAUCAGAGGAUUUUUGGGGUGAUUGAUAACCCCAUCCCUGCUGCACCAACGCCAGGUUGGAAUUCACAGAAUGUGAGAGCCAGGACGGCCAUAAUUCUGUGUAUCUCGGAUGAUCAGCUCGUGCAUAUUCAGCAUUUGGAAUACGCGCGUGAGAUUUGGCAUACGCUGCGUAGAAUACAUCAAAGAGAUGCUGGUUCUUCAGCGUUGCUGCAUUUUGAAAAGCUAACCAAUCUAAGGCUAGCGCCUGAUGGAGAUGUACAAGCGCAUCUGACAGAGAUGAAAUUCUUACGCCAGCAGAUGGCGGAACGCAAUUUCCCUCUACAGGAAGAGAUAUUCUGCUUCAUGAUUAUUAACAGCCUUAAUCGGACUUACAAAACGGUUGCAAGUCAGCUUGGUUCUCUACCUGCCGCAGAUCUUUCGACGGAGAGAAUUUGUGCCGUGAUUCUCAAUGAGAAAGACAGACUUGCUGCAAUAGAUGUCAAAGACAGGGGGAGAGAAGCUCGGAGUUCAAGCACCCCCGCUGCUAUUGCUAGUGAAGAACAGGCUGUUGCUUUGAACGUUGUCCGUUGUUUCAAUUGUGGACAGACUGGGCAUCUUCAGCGGAAUUGUAAGAAGCCACGUCAACAGAAAGGAGCUAAGGGGAGCUCUGCAAAGCCUGAGGCAUCAGGCAAAAGUCGUACCAAGUCCCAGAUGAAACCUGCGAAGGCAUUGCUGUCAACAAAAGCCGCAUUUUCAAUGGAGAACGCUUUUAUUUUGGACACUGGAGCGACGCAACACAUGACGUCGCGGCUAGAUCUGUUUUCAACGUUUAAGAAGCAAAGCUUCACUGUGAAACAAGCCAACGGUCAGGAGCUGGAAGCGACUGGGUUUGGAACUGUGUAUCUUGAGAGUCUGAACUUGACUAUAAACAAUGUGUAUUUGGUUCCUGAUUUAAAGUUCAAUCUGCUGAGUGUUUCGCAGAUCACAAAGAAAGGACUGACUUUGUCCUAUGAUAGAGAAAGCUGCAAAAUCUUCAAAGAUGGAGAGCUGUAUCUUUCUGCCAGAGAGAAAGAUGGACUGUAUUUGUUGACUUUUGAUCAAAGUGAUUGCAUAAAUUGUAAUGCAUCUGAUUCCAACAUGAUUUCUCUCGCAGGUGUGUCGAAAAACGUCCAGAAGACGACGCAAGUAACCAAAGCUUUUCAGCGAGUGUAUGCUGAUGUGAUUGGUCCUCUAGCACCGUCUAGAGGCAAUGCAAGAUAUUAUCUUGUGUGUGUGGAUUAUUUCUCUCAUUAUGUGUGGAUACAUAUAUUGCAGAAACCACAAGAAGCCUUAGAAAGGUUUAAAGAGUUUUGUGACAAGGUUAAGGAUGUUCAUAAUGCUAACAUUGAUUGUCUUUUCACAGAUGAAAAGCCAGUUUUUCUUUUGCAGGAUUUUCAGGAUUUCCUGGAUAAGAAAGGGAUAAGGCACAAGACUGCUGUUUCUGCAGAAGCAUGGAACAGAAGUGUCUGUGUGCAAGUGAACAAAGAAUUGCAAAAUGGCAUGAAGGCGCAAUUGCUGAGUUCACAUUUGCCACAUUAAUAUUGGGCAGAAUCGUUAAUGUGUUUUUGUUACAGUUGGGUGAGAAAGGUUUCAAAAGGUUUAGGAAGUUCUCCUUUUGAAAAGCUAUUCCACAGAAAACCUUCUGUUGCCCAUUUUAAGGUUUUUGGGUCUCAUGUAAAGACUGAAGCUCCAGGUGGAGUAAAGAAUGCUAGAGGCAUUUUUGUGGGUUAUGAAAAGGGUCUCUACAGAGUAAUUUUGUCUGAAUCUGGUCAGGUGGUUCUCACAAAAUUUCUAGAGAGUGCUCCUGAACAGGAGAAAGUAAUUGUUCACACAUUUCCCACUGAGGACAAUUCAGAUGAUGAUGAUGAUUUUACUGAUUACAGUGGUACUAAAAAUGACAGUGAUAGCUCAAAGAGCUCAGUUGACACAGUCAUUGAGAGGAAAUCUCACACAAUGGAUAGACCUUCACAGGUGAAGGAUGAACCACUGUUUACUAUUGGAACUGGUUCUCCAAAGAGUCCUGAGACUGAACCAGUGAGCAGAGAGGAUCAGCACCUCAUACGCAGGUCCGAGAGAGUUACAAAGGGUGUACCACCCAAGAGGUAUUCAAAAGAGUUUGCUAACUCAGCUGUAGCAUGUGUUACUAUUGUUGACAACUCAAGACAGGUUGAAGCUGUGUCUAAGUCAGAGACAAAGACACAACAGAGAGUUGCUAAGCGUAACACUACAUUCCCUAGCCAAGGUAAUGCAGAUGCACUCAUUCCUUGGAAGACAGACAACCAGAGAGGUACACUGGGGAAACCAGUGGCGGGUAGUUCCAAGGGUGGAACUGAAACAACAGGGGAGUGUUAUAUGUAUAACAACUGUUUGUUUUCUUCUCUGGAUCAUGCUUUGCUCGCAGCGCACAUUGAUUCAUAUGGGGGAGUAUGUUACGAUAUAGAAGCAAUGCGGCCGCGAGCUGGUAGCUUGAAAGCAAAACAUAAUGGGAAUGUUGGGACUGUUCCGUGGGAAACAGAGGGACAGUCUAUUCACAGUGCGAAGCACCGGAAUUAGCUCAGAGUGUAAUAUGAGCUGUACAGGAAGUACAGGAGGAGUUUGUCUCUCGACUGCUGAAGCUUGAAGAGAGCAGACAUGAUUUUUGUAACACUGCAAAGACAGAAAUAAAGGCAUGUAAAUACGUUUCUGUCUAUCUCUCUCCCCUGCCCAGGGGGGGCAGGACAGAGGGGGGGGUGUUCUUCUCACGCUGAGGAGGAUCGCCUAUCGCGACCUAGCCUGGAUCCUGCCGGGAAUGCAGACAGGGAGGUCAACAGGAGAUCAAGCCGGGUGCCUGGAGAGUGGCCAGUUUCUCCUGAUAAAGGCUUGAAUCCCAACACAAU